GUCGAGGGGCAGCGGGUAGAUGAGCUUGCUCAUUUAUGCCGGCGACCGGCGCACGGGUGAGUAACACGUAUGCAACCUGCCCGUCUCAGGGGGAUAAUCGUCGGAAACGGCGUCUAAUACCCCGUAUGAAGCCGGACGGCAUCGUCUGGUUUUGAAAGAAUAUCGGAGACGGAUGGGCAUGCGGCGCAUUAGCUAGUUGGCGGGGUAACGGCCCACCAAGGCGACGAUGCGUAGGGGUUCUGAGAGGAAGGUCCCCCACACUGGUACUGAGACACGGACCAGACUCCUACGGGAGGCAGCAGUGAGGAAUAUUGGUCAAUGGGCGAGAGCCUGAACCAGCCAAGUCGCGUGAGGGAGUACUGCCCUAUGGGUUGUAAACCUCUUUUGUCGGGGAGCAAAAGCCGGACGUGUCCGGCUGUGAGAGUACCCGAAGAAAAAGCAUCGGCUAACUCCGUGCCAGCAGCCGCGGUAAUACGGAGGAUGCGAGCGUUAUCCGGAUUUAUUGGGUUUAAAGGGUGCGCAGGCGGAUUUUUAAGUCAGCGGUCAAUCGUGGGGCUCAACCCCAUCCAGCCGUUGAAACUGGGGAUCUAGAGUGUGCGAGAGGUAUGCGGAAUGCGUGGUGUAGCGGUGAAAUGCAUAGAUAUCACGCAGAACCCCGAUUGCGAAGGCAGCAUACCGGUGCACAACUGACGCUCAGGCACGAAAGCGUGGGUAUCGAACAGGAUUAGAUACCCUGGUAGUCCACGCAGUAAACGAUGAAUGCUACCUGUUCGGCCAGAUUGAAGGCUGAGCGGGACAGCGAAAGCGUUAAGCAUUCCACCUGGGGAGUACGCCGGCAACGGUGAAACUCAAAGG
rnacentral:rRNA from 1 species